rnacentral:tRNA from 1 species
UCCGAUAUGGUGUAGUGGCUAGCAUUUGUCGCUUUCAACAGCUCUUCCAAAGAGCAUGAAAGCGGACCGACAAGACCCGGGUUCAAUUCCCGGUAUCGGAA